rnacentral:rRNA from 1 species
AGAGCACCACCAGGAGUGGAGCCUGCGGCUUAAUUUGACUCAACACGGGAAAACUCACCCGGCCCGGACACUGGAAGGAUUGACAGAUUGAGAGCUCUUUCUUGAUUCAGUGGGUGGUGGUGCAUGGCCGUUCUUAGUUGGUGGAGUGAUUUGUCUGGUUAAUUCCGAUAACGAACGAGACUCUAGCCUACUAAAUAGAUCGUCGGCUUACAAACGCCGGCGAGACUUCUUAGAGGGACAGGCGGUGAUUCAACCGCACGAAACAGAGCAAUAACAGGUCUGUGAUGCCCUUAGAUGUCCGGGGCCGCACGCGCGCUACACUGAAGUGAUCAGCGUGCUUUUUCAACCUACUCUGUCAAGAGUGGGGAACCCAAUGAACCUUCUUCGUGAUUGGGAUAGGGGAUUGUAAUUAUUCCCCUUGAACGAGGAAUUCCCAGUAAGCGCGAGUCAUAAGCUCGCGUUGAUUACGUCCCUGCCCUUUGUACACACCGCCCGUCGCUACUACCGAUUGAAUGUUUU